rnacentral:rRNA from 1 species
AUGCUGCCACAGGGUGACCAUCGACGGCGGCUGGUUUGGCUCCUCGUACGCCUCCUCCGUCUCGUAGGCUGGCCCGCAGCCUCUUGGAUCCAGCUUCGGUAUGAGGAUGGCGGCGGCAUUUUCUUCCCCAAGCGCGCAAGCCAAACACAUCGCCGCUAUUUCUGCGUGAGGCAGCUCAACACAUCGUCCACAUCCUCUACAGCGGAAACAUUCUUCGAAGUUCGAACUGCAGAUGGUACUUACUGGAGAUGGUCUGAUUGCUCGCCGGAGCCGGCUGGUGUCCGCUGGAAGAAGACAAUGCCGAAGUGCCACUGGUUGGAGGAUGUUGACUUCGAAGUGUCAUUCGCCGGAGAAAGAUGA